UUGAACGCUGGCGGUAUGCUUUACACAUGCAAGUCGAACGGCAGCACGGGGGCAACCCUGGUGGCGAGUGGCGAACGGGUGAGUAACAUAUCGGAACAUAUCCGGAAGUGGGGGAUAGCUCGGCGAAAGCCGGAUUAAUACCGCAUAUGCCCUGAGGGGGAAAGGGGGGGAUCGCAAGACCUCUCGCUUUCGGAGUGGCCGAUAUCAGAUUAGCUAGUUGGUGGGGUAAAGGCUCACCAAGGCGACGAUCUGUAGCUGGUCUGAGAGGACGACCAGCCACACUGGAACUGAGACACGGUCCAGACUCCUACGGGAGGCAGCAGUGGGGAAUUUUGGACAAUGGGCGAAAGCCUGAUCCAGCCAUGCCGCGUGAGUGAAGAAGGCCUUCGGGUUGUAAAGCUCUUUCAGCCGGAAAGAAAUCGCGCAGGCUAAUACUCUGCGUGGAUGACGGUACCGGAAGAAGAAGCACCGGCUAACUACGU
rnacentral:rRNA from 1 species